CAAUUUAGCUCAGACGGGGGAGGGCUCUCUCAGUUGGAGUUGGGAACAGAAAUGGGACACCGCAGCUGAGCACAGGAGUAAAUAAUGCAAACGAGACGGCAGGCAGACGCUUUAGCUUUGAUUGGCCAAAAGACAAGGCCCGGCCAAUUAGCCGGGUUGGCCCUGACCAGGUCUGAAAUGAAGCUGAAGCUGAAAUUUCAGCUGGAUGAUGCACAGACGCCAGUGGUGAAUGCCUCACUAAGUGCAUGAAUAAAUAAACCGAAGUCACUUGACUAGUUAGCCCCCACACACGCCCCUUCACACACCAACCCCCCAACACCACAACAGUCAGAGUCAACACAUGUUAACAACUUGAUGGCGAAAAGUCAAAUGGCUUAAAUGCCCAGCACAUUGUAAGCAAACAGCGUCAGUCCCAACGGCCAACGUGGAACAGGGUACAACAGCAACAGCACCAACAGCAAUAAAAAAAAAGAAGAAAGAAAACCCAAACCAACAGAGGGACAUAUGCAAAUGCAGGCAAAUAAAAUUAUUAUUCAAAUUUUUGGCAUGUCCCAUGAGCGUUAAACUAACAGC